rnacentral:rRNA from 1 species
UUGGAGGUUGUGGCCCUGAGCCGUGGCUUUCGGAGCUAACGCGUUAAGUAGACCGCCUGGGGAGUACGGUCGCAAGAUUAAAACUCAAAUGAAUUGACGGGGGCCCGCACAAGCGGUGGAGCAUGUGGUUUAAUUCGAUGCAACGCGAAGAACCUUACCUACUCUUGACAUCCAGAGAACUUAGCAGAGAUGCUUUGGUGCCUUCGGGAACUCUGAGACAGGUGCUGCAUGGCUGUCGUCAGCUCGUGUUGUGAAAUGUUGGGUUAAGUCCCGCAACGAGCGCAACCCUUAUCCUUGUUUGCCAGCGAGUAAUGUCGGGAACUCCAGGGAGACUGCCGGUGAUAAACCGGAGGAAGGUGGGGACGACGUCAAGUCAUCAUGGCCCUUACGAGUAGGGCUACACACGUGCUACAAUGGCGCAUACAGAGGGCAGCCARCUAGCGAUAGUGAGCGAAUCCCAAAAAGUGCGUCGUAGUCCGGAUUGGAGUCUGCAACUCGACUCCAUGAAGUCGGAAUCGCUAGUAAUCGUAGAUCAGAAUGCYACGGUGAAUACGUUCCCGGGCCUUGUACACACCGCCCGUCACACCAUGGGAGUGGGCUGCAAAAGAAG